UUGCACGCUGGCGGCAGGCCUAACACAUGCCAGUCGAACGGUAACAGGAAACAGCUUGCUGUUUCGCUGACGAGUGGCGGACGGGUGAGUAAUGUCUGGGAAACUGCCUGAUGGAGGGGGAUAACUACUGGAAACGGUAGCUAAUACCGCAUAACGUCGCAAGACCAAAGAGGGGGACCUUCGGGCCUCUUGCCAUCGGAUGUGCCCAGAUGGGAUUAGCUAGUAGGUGGGGUAACGGCUCACCUAGGCGACGAUCCCUAGCUGGUCUGAGAGGAUGACCAGCCACACUGGAACUGAGACACGGUCCAGACUCCUACGGGAGGCAGCAGUGGGGAAUAUUGCACAAUGGGCGCAAGCCUGAUGCAGCCAUGCCGCGUGUAUGAAGAAGGCCUUCGGGUUGUAAAGUACUUUCAGCGGGGAUGAAGGGAGUAAAGUUAAUACCUUUGCUCAUUGACGUUACCCGCAGAAGAAGCACCGGCUAACUCCGUG
rnacentral:rRNA from 1 species